UACGGGGGGGGCAAGCGUUGUUCGGAAUUACUGGGCGUAAAGGGCUCGUAGGCGGCCAACUAAGUCAGACGUGAAAUCCCCAGGCUCAACCUGGGAACUGCGUCUGAUACUGGAUGGCUUGAAUCCGGGAGAGGGAGGUGGAAUUCCACGUGUAGCGGUGAAAUGCGUAGAGAUGUGGAGGAACACCGAUGGCGAAGGCAGCCUCCUGGGCCAACACUGACGCUCAUGCACGAAAGCGUGGGGAGCAAACAGG
rnacentral:rRNA from 1 species